UACGGAGGGUGCAAGCGUUAUCCGGAUUCACUGGGUUUAAAGGGUGUGUAGGCGGGUAUUUAAGUCAGUGGUGAAAUCUCCAGGCUCAACCUGGAAACUGCCAUUGAUACUAUUUAUCUUGAAUAUCGUUGAGGUAGGCGGAAUAUAUCAUGUAGCGGUGAAAUGCUUAGAUAUGAUAUAGAACACCGAUUGCGAAGGCAGCUUGCUAAACGAUUAUUGACGCUGAGGCACGAAAGCGUGGGGAUCAAACAGG
rnacentral:rRNA from 1 species